AUUGAACGCUUGCGGCAGGCUUAACACAUGCAAGUCGAGCGAGCGGCGGACGGGUGAGUAAUGUCUGGGAAACGGCCUGAUGGAGGGGGUUACCGACUGGAAACGGUAGCUAAUACCGCAUACCAUCAGAUGUGCCCAGAUGGGAUAAGCUAGUAGGUGGGGUGAUGGCUCACCUAGGCGACGAGCCCUAGCUGGUCUGAGAGGAUGACCCGCUACACUGUGACUGAGACACGGUACAGACUCCUACGGGAGGCAGCAGUGUGGAAUAUUGCACAAUGGGCGCAAGCCGGAUGCAGCCAUGCCGCGUGUGUGAAGAAGGCCUUCGGGGUGUAAAGCACUUUCUGCGAGGAGGCGUUACUCGCAGAAGAAGCACAUGCUAACGCCGUGCCAGCAGCCGCGGUAAUAC
rnacentral:rRNA from 1 species